rnacentral:rRNA from 1 species
GACGAACCCGUGCGAACGUUAUUCGGAAUCACUGGGCUUAAAGCGCGUGUAGGCGGCCCGGAGCAUCGUCGGCUGAAAUCCCCCGGCUCAACCGGGGAACGGGCCACGAGAUGUCCGGGCUGGAGGGGGGUAGGGGGAGCCGGAACUCACGGUGGAGCGGUGAAAUGCGUUGAGAUCGUGAGGAACGCCCGUGGCGAAAGCGGGCUCCUGGACCCCGCCUGACGCUGAGACGCGAAAGCCAGGGGAGCGAACGGGAUUAGAAACCCCG